rnacentral:rRNA from 1 species
UACGUAGGGUGCAAGCGUUGUCCGGAAUUAUUGGGCGUAACGAGCUCGUAGGCGGCUUGUCACGUCGACUGUGAAAACCCGGGGCUCAACUCCGGGCCUGCAGUCGAUACGGGCUGGCUUGAGUGCGGUAGGGGAGACUGGAAUUCCUGGUGUAGCGGUGAAAUGCGCAGAUAUCAGGAGGAACACCGGUGGCGAAGGCGGAUCUCUGGGCCUUACCUGACGCUGAGGCGCGAAAGCUAGGGGAGCAAACAGG